GAUAAACUGUCUAUUUGAAAUUUAUAAAAUUUUAUACAAUAAAAUUUGGAUAUUCAUGCCCUCUUUAACAGGACCAGUGAAUACGAUGGGCUGACACCCCCAUGAUAAAGUCACUGAUUAGUUAACUUUGAAGUAAUCAGAUGGAAGAGUGUUGUUUGAGCCUGAUCUGAUCAGAUGCACCCUUUAAGAAGAGGAGAAACAGAGAGAUGCUCUUCUGAUGGUCCUGAAGAUACAGCUCAUGACUUCUACGCCUGAAAAGCAUACAACAUCUUUGAAUUUUCUCUUUAGUGCUGGGCGUCAACGUUAGAUUCAUGGAACCUCCUAUUUCCACGAAGCUCUUUCCUCACCCAGUAUUGCUGGUUCUUAUUCCCUUCAAACUCCUAUCCUCUAGAAGUUCUUGAAUUUUGGACAGAGCUACACUUACUUCAUAUUAUAAGGAAAGCAGCACUAAAAAAAGCAAUUUUGUGUAUCCUAAUGAAAGAUUAACCCGCAAUGUGAAAGUGAACAAGAAGUAUGACUGAACAGCUAUAUCAAUCUUGAGAACUCCUUAUCAUAAGAUGUUAUGAUAUGGCUAUGACCAAGGCAGAAAUGGAACUCACUACCUUUGAACUUUCAAUGUAGUGGGGAGCAUAGGUAAGUAAACAAACAAUUAUAAUAUAGUAUCAGUGGCACAAUAAGGGAUGCAUAUUAGACCGUGGCCAGUAGAUUUUCUACCACAAAUCUAAUUUGUCAGGGAAGGUUUCUGGGAGGAAGUAACACUCAACCUUAGACUUGAUGAAGGCAUAGGCAUUGGCCUGACAAAUGGUGAUGUAUAGAGAAAUUUCCAAGUAAGGGAAACAUCGUGAGGAAAAUGCUUUGAGAAGAGAGAAUGAGAUCAUGGAACAUUUGAUAUGAUGUGGAGCACAGAAUUUAUAGUGUGUGACAGGUAUGAGAUGAAGCUAUAGAGCUAAAUUAGCACCAGAUCAUGAAUGAUCUUGCAAGUAAUUGGCAGGAAAUUUGAAUUUUAUCAUGAAGGCUAUGAGAAAUAUUAGAUUUUUCAAGUCUAGGAGAAACAAAUUUAAUAGGUAUUUUAUGUAAGCCUCAUAGUAACCACAAAGGAAAAAUCCUGCAGUGGACACACCAAAGAUUAUGAUAAAGGAGUCAAAGCAUACUGCCAAUAAAAGGCAUCAAAUCAGAAAGGGAGAC
rnacentral:lncRNA from 1 species